UGCUCCGAGUAGCAAUACCUGGAGAAGUUUAGUGGCGAACGGGUGCGUAACACGUGGACAAUCUGCCUUAAAGUGGGGGAUAGCUCGGCGAAAGCCGGAUUAAUACCGCAUGUGAUCAGGUCACUCUGGUGGCCGAAAUUAAAGACGGCGCAAGCUGUCGCUUUUUGAGGAGUCCGCGGCCUAUCAGCUAGUUGGUGAGGUAACGGCUCACCAAGGCUUUGACGGGUAGCUGGUCUGAGAGGACGACCAGCCACACUGGAACUGAGACACGGUCCAGACACCUACGGGUGGCAGCAGUCGAGAAUUUUUCUCAAUGGGGGAAACCCUGAAGGAGCGACGCCGCGUGGAGGAUGAAGGUCUUCGGAUUGUAAACUCCUGUCAUUUGGGAACAAGUCGUACGUAGUAACUAUACGUGCGUUGAUAGUACCCGAAGAGGAAGAGACGGCUAACUCUGUGCCAGCAGCCGCGGUAAUACAGAGGUCUCAAGCGUUGUUCGGAUUCAUUGGGCGUAAAGGGUGCGUAGGCGGCGCGGAAAGUCGGGUGUGAAAUUUCGGAGCUUAACUCCGAAACUGCAUUCGAUACUCCCGUGCUUGAGGACUGGAGAGGAGACUGGAAUUCUCGGUGUAGCA
rnacentral:rRNA from 1 species